GCCGCGGUGGCGAAACCGGUAAACGCGACAGACUUAGGAUCUGUUGGGGAAACCCUUGAGAGCUCGAAUCUCUCCCGCGGCACAA
rnacentral:tRNA from 1 species